GAAAUGACUUGAGAGGUGUAG
rnacentral:snRNA from 1 species